GGGGGGGGCGGGGGGCGGGCGGGGCGCGGGGGGGGCGGGCGGGGGGGCCCUGGUGUUGUGGGGUGCUCGAGUGGCGCACGGGUGCGUAACCCGUGAGGAACCUGGCCGUGACUUUGGGAGAGCUUCCGGAAACUGGGGCUAAUGCCGGAUCGUGUCCCCUGCUGCAGGGGGGGGGUUGGACAUUUUCGGCGGUGGGGGCUGGACUCGCGGCUUAUCAGCUUGUUGGUGGGGUAGUGGCUUUCCAAGGCUGUGGCGGGUAGCCGGCCUGAGAGGGUGACCGGCCACAUUGGGACUGAGAUACGGCCCAGACUCCUACGGGAGGCAGCAGUGGAGAAUAUUGCACAAUGGGCGGAAGCCUGAUGCAGCAACGCCGCGUGCGGGAUGACGGCCUUCGGGUUGUAAACCGCUUUCGCCUGUGACGAAGCGUGAGUGACGGUAAUGGGUAAAGAAGCACCGGCUAACUACGUG
rnacentral:rRNA from 1 species